GGAGCAUGCACGGUUACCUGGGAUGCGUCACUUGGUUAUUUGCUGCGUCGCUAACGCGCUUCCGUCACUUCCCAGAACUAGAUGCGAGUGCUUGAGACGAGACUGCGAUUUGUUUGGAGAGCACUUCUGCCUUGACCCUACGAGUCGCGCUGCAAUGUCUGCUUAGUAUUGUCACAUAAAUUGGGCAUAGAUAUUGGAGAAGCUGUGAGAACCUGACACAGUGCUGGAUCACUGUUUUGUAUUGGCGUUGAAAGAUUCCAUUGGCUUUCUAUAAAACAUUGACAUCUGCGAUUGGUGUCGUGACGGCCUGUAAUUAUUCCAGUUGGCGUGUUCCGCGUUUGUAUGGCGGCAGUGCUGUCCUGUUUCCAGCGGGUUUUUUAAUCAAGUUUCCAAACGGGGUUUCAAUCCGGUUGCCAGAUUUG